rnacentral:rRNA from 1 species
CCUACGGGAGGCAGCAGUGGGGAAUAUUGGGCAAUGGAGGAAACUCUGACCCAGCGACGCCGCGUGAGGGAUGAAGGCCUUCGGGUUGUAAACCUCUUUCAGUAGGGAAGAAGCGAAAGUGACGGUACCUACAGAAGAAGCACCGGCUAACUAUGUGCCAGCAGCCGCGGUAAUACAUAGGGUGCAAGCGUUGUCCGGAAUUAUUGGGCGUAAAGAGCUCGUAGGUGGUUCGAUACGUCGGAUGUGGAAAUCAGGGGCUCAACCCCUGACCUGCAUCCGAUACGGUCGAGCUAGAGUUUGGUAGGGGAGACUGGAAUUCCUGGUGUAGCGGUGGAAUGCGCAGACAUCAGGAGGAACACCGAUGGCGAAGGCAGGUCUCUGGGCCAAUACUGACACUGAGGAGCGAAAGCGUGGGGAGCGAACAGGAUUAGAUACCCUGGUAGUCCACGCCGUAAACGGUGGGCGCUAGUUGUGCGAACCUUCCACGGUUUGUGCGACGCAGCUAACGCAUUAAGCGCCCCGCCUGGGGAGUACGAUCGCAAGAUUAAACUCAAAUGAAUUGACGG